GAUGAACGCUGGCGGCGUGCCUAAUACAUGCAAGUCGAGCGAACGGACGAGAAGCUUGCUUUUUUGAUGUUAGCGGCGGACGGGUGAGUAACACGUGGAUAACCUACCUAUAAGACUGGGAUAACUUCGGGAAACCGGAGCUAAUACCGGAUAAUAUUUUGAACCGCAUGGUUCAAAAGUGAAAGACGGUCUUGCUGUCACUUAUAGAUGGAUCCGCGCUGCAUUAGCUAGUUGGUAAGGUAACGGCUUACCAAGGCAACGAUGCCUAGCCGACCUGAGAGGGUGAUCGGCCACACUGGAACGGAGACACGGUCCAGACUCCUACGGGAGGCAGCAGUAGGGAAUCUUCCGCAAUGGGCGAAAGCCUGACGGAGCAACGCCGCGUGAGUGAUGAAGGUCUUCGGAUCGUAAAACUCUGUUAUUAGUGAAGAACAUAUGUGUAAGUAACUGUGCACAGCUUGACGGUACCUAAUCAGAAAGCCACGGCUAACUACGUG
rnacentral:rRNA from 1 species